rfam:Oceanobacillus picturae, S1, WGS project CCAX01000000 data, contig: 000003
UUCUUAUUCAGAGAGAUGGAGGGACUUGGCCCAUUGAUAUCUCGGCAGCGGACUUUUAAUAGUACUGUGCUAAAUCCAACAGGCGAAUGCGAGCCUGAAAAAUAAGAA